UACGUAGGUGGCAAGCGUUGUCCGGAUUUAUUGGGUUUAAAGGGUGCGUAGGCGGUUCUGUAAGUCAGUGGUGAAAUACUCUAGCUUAACUAGAGGGGUGCCAAUGAUACUGCAGAACUUGAGUACAGAUGAGGUAGGCGGAAUUGACGGUGUAGCGGUGAAAAUGCAUAGAUAUCGUCAAGAACACCGAUAGCGAAGGCAGCUUACUGGGCUGUAACUGACGCUGAUGCACGAAAGUGUGGGGAUCAAACAGG
rnacentral:rRNA from 1 species